UACGGAGGGUGCAAGCGUUGUCCGGAUUUAUUGGGUUUAAAGGGUGCGUAGGCGGCCCGGUAAGUCAGUGGUGAAAGCCUCCAGCUCAACUGGAGAACUGCCAUUGAUACUGAAGAGCUUGAGUGACAGACGAGGUAGGCGGAAUUUAUGGUGUAGCGGUGAAAUGCAUAGAUACCAUAAAGAACUCCUAUUGCGAAGGCAGCUUACUAGGCUGUAACUGACGCUGAGGCACGAAAGCGUGGGGAUCAAACAGG
rnacentral:rRNA from 1 species